rnacentral:rRNA from 1 species
GACGAACGCUGGCGGCGUGCCUAACACAUGCAAGUCAAGGAGGUACGGGUAGCAAUAUCUGUAUCGACUGGCGCACGGGUGCGGAAUACGUAGGUAAUCUACCCUCCAGGGGAGAACAACUCGCUGAAAGGCGAGCUAAUACUCCGUAACAUGAGAAACCGGCAUCGGUUUUUUAUCAAGUUUUCUGGGGGAUGAGCCUGCGCCUGAUUAGCUAGUUGGUAGUGUAACGGACUACCAAGGCUACGAUCAGUAGCUGGUCUGAGAGGAUGA